GAUGAACGCUGGCGGCGUGCCUAAUACAUGCAAGUCGAGCGAACAGACGAGGAGCUUGCUCCUCUGACGUUAGCGGCGGACGGGUGAGUAACACGUGGAUAACCUACCUAUAAGACUGGGGUAACUUCGGGAAACCGGAGCUAAUACCGGAUAAUAUAUUGAACCGCAUGGUUCAAUAGUGAAAGACGGUUUUGCUGUCACUUAUAGAUGGAUCCGCGCCGCAUUAGCUAGUUGGUAAGGUAACGGCUUACCAAGGCAACGAUGCGUAGCCGACCUGAGAGGGUGAUCGGCCACACUGGAACUGAGACGCGGUCCAGACUCCUACGGGAGGCAGCAGUAGGGAAUCUUCCGCAAUGGGCGAAAGCUUGACGGAGCAACGCCGCGUGAGUGAUGAAGGUCUUCGGAUCGUAAAACUCUGUUAUUAGGGAAGAACAAAUGUGUAAGUAACUAUGCACGUCUUGACGGUACCUAAUCAGAAAGCCACGGCUAACUACGUG
rnacentral:rRNA from 1 species